rnacentral:rRNA from 1 species
UACGUAGGGUGCGAGCGUUAAUCGGAAUUACUGGGCGUAAAGCGUGCGCAGGCGGUGAGUUAAGUCUGAUGUGAAAGCCCACGGCUCAACCGUGGAGGGUCAUUGGAAACUGGGGGACUUGAGUGCAGAAGAGGAAAGCGGAAUUCCACGUGUAGCGGUGAAAUGCGUAGAUAUCGAGAGGAACACCUGCGGCGAAGGCGGGUUGCUGGGCUGAUACUGACGCUGAUGCGCGAAAGCCAGGGGAGCGAACGGG